GAUGAACGCUAGCGGCAGGCUUAAUACAUGCAAGUCGAGGGGCAGCACGAAUAGCAAUAUUUGGUGGCGACCGGCAAACGGGUGCGGAACACGUACGCAACCUUCCCAUAACUGGUGAAUAGCCUUCCGAAAGGGAGAUUAAUACACCGUAACAUAGUUGAGUGGCAUCACUUGACUAUUAUAGCUUCGGCGGUUUUGGAUGGGCGUGCGGCUGAUUAGGUAGUUGGCGGGGUAACGGCCCACCAAGCCUCCGAUCAGUAACUGGUGUGAGAGCACGACCAGUCACACGGGCACUGAGACACGGGCCCGACUCCUACGGGUGGCAG
rnacentral:rRNA from 1 species